rnacentral:rRNA from 1 species
UACAGAGGGCUCAAGCGUUGUUCGGAUUCAUUGGGCGUAAAGGGUGCGUAGGUGGCGCGGUAAGUCAGGGGUGAAAUCUCGGGGCUCAACCUGGGAACUGCAUCCGAAACUGCCUUGCUAGAGUAUGGGAGAGGGAAGUGGAAUUUCCGGUGUAGCGGUGAAAUGCGUAGAUAUCGGAAGGAACAUCAGUGGCGAAGGCGACUUCCUGGACCAAUACUGACGCUCAGGUGCGAAAGCGUGGGGAGCAAACAGG